rnacentral:rRNA from 1 species
UCCCUACGGGGGGCAGCAGUGGGGGAUAUUGCACAAUGGGGGGAACCCUGAUGCAGCGACGCCGCGUGAACGAAGAAAUAUUUCGGUAUGUAAAGUUCUAUCAGCAGGGAAGAAAAUGACAGUACCUGACCAAGAAGCCCCGGCUAACUACGUGCCAGCAGCCGCGGUAAUACGUAGGGGGCGAGCGUUAUCCGGAUUCACUGGGCGUAAAGGGAGCGCAGGCGGCACGGCAAGUCCGGUGUGAAAGCCCGGGGCCCAACCCCGGGACUGCUCUUGGAACUGCGUGGCUAGAGUGCAGGAGGGGC